AUGGCUUAAAAAUGAGCCUCGGGACGGCGAUGGCGUCGCGACAAGUGGUGGUCAGGAGGGCUUCGAGCCCCAGAGCUUUGCGCGUCGCGAGCCUUAUCCUCCUCAUGCUCGAAAGUAACCCGAACGGGGCGUCUCCGACGCCGCCAGCAUCGCGACCCCAGGUCAGGCGGGACUACCCGCU
rnacentral:rRNA from 1 species